rnacentral:ribozyme from 15 species
AAAGAUAAGAGUCAUAUUUGCCUAAUUGUUUCCCACUUGAUUUUUCUUUAUUUUCUUUAUUCUUUCGCCACUUUUUUGAUUUUGAUGAAC